rnacentral:lncRNA from 1 species
GCCGCGCAGGCGUCGUAGACUGUGAGCCGGGUUUGGUGGUCGCCAGAAGGAAGAUCCUAUCUACUCUGUGGAGAAUGGAUUGGAACAAAAAAAGACCAUGCAGGAAUCAACUGUAGAAGGCCAGUCUCUGAAGCUGAUCCGAGGGCGAGGCCUGGAGGUUAAGAUGAGGGCCUCCAGUCCCUGUGGAAAGAGUGACAAGUGACCUGACUCUGCAUCCUGCUGGAGCUAGCUGGAGAGACCCCAGACAGUGGGGUGAAUGGGCAAGAUGACCUCCGCAUGGCCUCUGAAUGAAACCAAGGUGAAGGCAGAGUCAGGGCUUCCUGAGCAAGUCCUGAUGACAGCAGGAAUAAACACCAGCAUUUUAUUCUAUUGUCUAAGUGAAGCUACCGAACUGUCCAUUCUAACAUUUUGGGAUUAGAAGGAGUCCUGUCACUGUGAACAAAACUUCACCUGUGUCCUCACUGGCUUAGAAACAGGAAGGGGAGGUUCUUUAUUUACUGACAGGAAUGGUGUAAAUGUAAUAGAUUUGGGGGACAAGACUUGAAGCUGAGUUUGGG